GUGCAUUGUAGUCGCAUUGUC
rnacentral:miRNA from 8 species